rnacentral:lncRNA from 1 species
UCACACUAGACCCAUCUAGUUUUGCAGAUUAUUGAUUGAUUUGAAUCCAAAAUAGUUCAUCACACCCGGAGCAAAACAUAGGCACCGUUUGAAAAUAGGGAAACUCUCUGACCGCCUGCCUCAUUGUCUGUUUUGUUGAGACCCAAACUCAUUAUGAUGAAGGUGAACUGAAUCUGUUCUUCAUAUUGGCUGCCAGCCCCAAGGGUUUGGUUAUGGACAGUAUAGGCAAUUCAACCAAGCCGUGAUGCAAAGUUAUUUCAAACAUCCAUUAUUAAAUGUAUCGAGGUGUCCUCUCUGGCUUUAAUGUGGACUUGUCACUUGUGCUUGGGCAGACCGGUUAGAGCUUCUCCUCUGAAUCAUAAGUAAAUAUCCACCCGUAAUCAUGUGACAUGCCCUCCUCCCAUUGCGGUGUGUUCUGCAAUUCAGUGGUUCUAAUCAGGAAGGAACUAGAAACAAAACUUACUUUGUAACUCUCAAAUCUAAUCUUGACCUCACUCCAUGUCGGGUUUUCAAACACUGUGGUUUGACUUGGAUCCAAAGACAGUAUAAAUUGACCACACCAGAGAGAAACACAGGCACAAUCUGAAAAUGGCUAAAUUGCUGGUGACAGGUGGCCUUCUUCUCUGUCUUUUGUUUGGCAGCCAGGUUGAGGGGUUUCAACGUGGACAGCGCCUUCUAAAACAGCCCAAAGGUGCAAAAGAAAUAGAAGAUCCCCUGGAAAAUGAAUUGAAGGAUCUUCGUAUGGAGUUAGAGAGACUUAAUGUCACCCAUCAAAUACCUGGUAUCUGCAGUGUCUGCAAAUGGGUGAUUGGCAAGGUUAUUCGUUCAAUACCUGCAGAUGACACAAAGGAGGAUGUAAAAGCUCUAUUGAACACGGCCUGCAACUCUUACCGUGUGUUUGGAUGGGUCUGUAGGAAGUUUGUGAAUGGCUAUCUUGGUCAAAUCUUCAUCGAUAUUGUUCACAAGCAUAUGAAAGACCCACGCGCAAUCUGCAAAGCUCUGCAUCUCUGCUGGUGGCCAGUGACUGAAAAGGAUUUCCACAUUGAGUAAUACUGAUUAGCUUUCAUCACUUACCUUUCAUAUGAAAUGUACAAGGUAACAGAUGUUUUUGGAAUUAAUUGCUGAGAUGCUACUUGAAUGUGUGUGAAUGUGCAACACACAUGACCAUGGCUUAAUAUUAACCAGCUGAAACUGCAAAUCCAUUCCCGUAAAAUUAUAUUGUUAAAGUCAUUCCAUUGCUUUGCUUUCUGAUAAUUGUAAACGCAUCUGCCAGGGACUGUGUUGAUUUAAUUCACCUAUGAAAGUGGGACUAGAUUGGGCUGGAAACACACAAUCAUAGUUUCCAUCAUGAAAGUCGUCCUGUGCCUGGUUGUAUACCUCUAAUAAACAAAUGCUGAUAGGCA